GACGAGCGCUGGCGGCGUGCUUAACACAUGCAAGUCGAGCGGUAAGGCCCUUUCGGGGGUACACGAGCGGCGAACGGGUGAGUAACACGUGGGUGACCUGCCCUCAGCUCUGGGAUAAGCCUGGGAAACCGGGUCUAAUACUGGAUAUGACUCCAUGACGCAUGUUGUGGGUGGAAAGCCUUGUGCGGCUGAGGAUGGGCCCGCGGCCUAUCAGCUUGUUGGUGGGGUGAUGGCCUACCAAGGCGACGACGGGUAGCCGGCCUGAGAGGGCGACCGGCCACACUGGGACUGAGACACGGGCCCAGACUCCUACGGGAGGCAGCAGUGGGGAAUCUUGCGCAAUGGGCGAAAGCCUGACGCAGCGACGCCGCGUGAGGGAUGACGGCCU
rnacentral:rRNA from 1 species